rnacentral:tRNA from 3 species
GCCACCGUAGCUCAGACGGUAGAGCAGGCGUUUCGUAAACGUCUGGUCAAGGGUUCGAGUCCCUUCGGUGGCU